rnacentral:lncRNA from 1 species
AAAGUUUCCAUGUUGAGAAGGUUUACUGUGGAGCAUGCAAAUUAGAAAAUUUUUAGGCAGUUUUCUGAGCGCUCUUUUUUCCCACCUGUGUAGCCAAGAUAGCACAGUCUUCAUUGUAUCAGCAGAUAAAGCAAUUAUGUAUUUUAAGUUGGUCCUUGAAAGCAUACUCAGCCCUGUAUAAAUGCCUUUACUCUUUGCAUAAAAUAAGGAUGCAAGACCUUUCCACUUGCCUCUUAUCUGCCUAUUGCAGAUAGGGCAAGGGGGAAAGAGGCCGCCUGCCAUGAGAAGGUGAGCUCUGAAUUUGGGUACAUGAUCUGCAGGACAAAAAGAGUUAAUACCUCUGAAUGAACUCUUUCUAAUAUAGAUAGCUUGUGAAAACAAAAAUUAAUGAAAUCCAGUGUCCUUUUCAUAAACUAUUUGAAGGAACUCUUGCUCGAUAGCACUUGUCAGUCAGUCCCUUGCUACUGUUCUUUUUUUCUCCCCUGUUUUAAAUUGACAUCUGUCUGGAAGGACACAAACAAAUCCCAGGUUGUUACCUGGGAUAACAAGGAUACUGUGAAGAUGUUCUCGUUCAAUCCUUGAAUUUCUCUGCCGGUACAGAUAAAUAAAUUGUGAAGUCUAUAUUGAUAGGUGCAAGGAGCAAAUGCAUGAUAAAAGCUUUGAGAAGGAUAUGCAAAAAUAUCCUGGAGUAUACUGUGAGGAUGUUUUUGAAAUCAUAUACACCUAAUUACUAAUAAGUUGUCAAAAUAUAUGCAAGAUUCUGCAAACUCCAAAACCUUCAGGUGAUUACUUUGCCUUUUUUCCACAAUAAGUCAAACUGAAAAUAACCAGAUAUUUACCUCCUGGAUGUUCUUUAUGUUCAUUUGAUGUUCUCUAUCUCUUAAAUAGUUACAGUUCUGUUAGCAGUCUUCGAGGAUUUGGUAGAAAUGUUUCAGUUAUAUGUAUAUUACUUUUCAAAACUCAUGCUUAAAUGUUGUAUAAAUGUCUGUAGCAAUCUUUCCUUCAUUUUAAUUUCACUGUAUUGUGAAAUACUAAGCUAUUUUAUUUACAUUUGUUGAUAGUCCUGUUGACAAGUACACUGCAUUUACAGUUUAAUUAUCUGAAUUUCUUAUACUGCAUCAUACCCAAUUAAUCUCCCAUUAUUAUGUACCUGGCUGUAGUUGGUAUUUAAAAUCAUCGGUACACAACUAAAUUAGGAGUUCAUAAAGAUUCCGCUGAACUAAAUCAAGCAGUCUGCUGUAAGAUUAGGUGAAAGUGUGAGUUCCUCCAUCAGCAGCUCAGAGGUUUGCUGAGUAUCUUCUCCAGCAGAAUUAUGGUGCACAAGAAAACAAUUUUCUUACCAUCCUGUGCAAUGGUGCCAUUUGUGAUGGCAUUUUCUGUCAAUACUCAUGUGAGAUGGAGGGAUUCAUUUUACAUUCAAACAACAUUAAAGCCUGCCAGGUUAAUAAACCAUAUUUAUAAAAUAGUACCUCCCUGAAUACAUUGUUUUGUUCUUUAGCUCAGGAGAUUGAACACUGAUAUCGAACCAGUGUCUUUCUUCAGGAACUGUGUGUUGAUGUAUGGUGCACUGCGUUUGUUGUGAUAUUGAUGUACAGGGAGCCAGACUGAAGGAUGGGGUUGGCACACAUAACGUCUGCAUGUUUUUAUUUCAAUGUAAUGUUGUGUAUAACAGUGGGGCCAGAUAUUGUGCUGGUAGGUUUUUAGAUCAGUUUUUCUGUGUAAGUCAAGUCAGUGGGGAUGGACUCCUUUUGGUGACAUACAACAAGAGAACAAGGGCAGAUGAGCAGAAACUGCCCCACAGGAAAUUCUAUACUAAUAUGAAGAAAAACUUCCCUACUGUGAGAGUGACAAAACACUGGAACGUGCUGCCCAGAGAGGUGGUGGAGUCUCCUUCUCUGGAGACAUUUGAGACCUGUUUGGAUGCCUACCUGUGCAACCUGCUAUAGGGAGCCUGCUUUAACAAGAGGGGAUGGACUCAAUGAUCUCCAAAGGUCCCUUCCAACCCUGUGAUUCUGUGAUUCUGUGUGGUUCUGUGAUUCUUCCUGAACAGGAGAUAAUGAGCAUGAAACCUUCAGAAAGUCUUUAGAAGGUCUUUAAAAGCACACACAAAUACACACAAUCACAGAACACAGAUAAACUUCCUGAAAUGAAGCUGUAGCAAGGUGGGGGCUGCCCUCUUCUCCCCAGCAACUAGAGAUAGGGUGAGAGGUAAUGGCCUGAAGUUGAACCAGGGGAGGUUCAGGUUGCAUACUGUGAAAAAUUUCUUCUCUGAAAGAACAGUCAGGCAUGACUAGCUGCCUUCUGUUGUAAAAGGAAUGAGGAACAGAGUUAUGACACUUUUACACAUAUUCAAUUAAAUAUUAAGUGUGGUAACAAUGUAGCCAUGCAAGUAACUACAGUUGUACUCAGUAUAUGGGUGAAGGGGAAAUGGUUUCAAACUAGAACAGGGGAGACUAAGGCUAUAAGGAAUAGCUUUUAAUGACAAGAGUAGCGAAGCACUGGUACAGGUUGACCAGAGAGGUGGUGGAUGCCCCAUCCUUGGAGACAUCCAGCGUCAGGCUGGAAGGGGCUGUGAUGGAGCUGUAGGUGUCCCUGUUCGUUGCGGGGGGAGUUGGACCAGAUGGUCUUUAGAGGCCCCUUCCAACUCAAAGGAUUCAAUAACUCUAUGAAACAUAUCUGGUUUUGGAUUGUAAAAGCCUAAAACAAUGGUUCUGCAUGAUCUGGGAAAGCAGUGAUAGGAAAACACAACAUUGUCAUCUUACCAGAGAACUUCAACUCCACAUCCUUUACAUAACAAUUUAAAACCACUGCUUUCUAACUGUUUUCUGAAGAAAAAACAUGGGAAAAAAGAGCCCCAGUGAGACUAAGUUGCUUUUAGCAAGGCUAAAUGCCUUUCGUCGUGGAGAUACAUAGAACUACACCCGUUUUUCAUUGUUGUUAAGAACAGCACUACGUUAGCUGUAUCUUCAGGACAAAGUGGACUUGGGAUUGGAUUGCUUGCAAACUGCCACAAAUCUGAAUCUGAAUUAGUAUUUAAUUGCAUCAAGGCUCUGGCUGGCAUGGCCUAUCAGCAGGUUUGUUGUUCUUUCAUCAAGCUUCAUAUGUUAAUAUUUCUGACAGGCAGGGAGUGAAGUGAAAAGCACCAGAUACCCAGAACUGUUGCCCACAAGAAACCAAAGGAGGGAGGCCAGAGAGCUGAAGUUAUAAAACAAAAAAAUGAAAAAACACAUUUGAGAAAGGAGGGUUAGAAUAUGGGUCAGGAGGAACAACGCAGAAAAGAAGGGCAGGAAGGAAGGCAGUGAGCAAACAAAUGGAAGGAACAGUGCAAGAACAAGACUGGCAUCAAAAUGUACCCCAGGUUCUGUGAGUGCCUGAUUGUGAGGGCCAAAGCAAAGAGCAGCUACAUUUCUCCUCCGUAGCUGCUAAUGAAUUAAAAAGCACACAGAUUAUGCCAAAGUAAAGCACUGGAUCACCGACUUUCACCUUCUGUGUAACAGGAUCUCAUUGGUUAAACCUGUGUUAAGCCCAGCAGCUCACGUGGUUGACCUUUUCUCCCAGCCAUGGACUCUAAUCACUGCUCUUUUCUGCCAACACUUGCUCCUUUGGCUGCCCAUAGCCUUUCCUUUAUGAAGGUAUGGAACCAUUACAGCAGCAUUAGCAACAGAAAGUGACCCCUGAAGAAAUAUUAUGAGUGCUGUGGGUGUUCAGCCUGAUGGCUGAAUUGAAGGCACACAUGCACCCAGUGCUUUGCUUGUUUAUAUUGUUCACUUUCACUUUCAAUGAAGAGUAGUUUUGUUGGCCUUCUCUACUUCUCUGUUUUUCAUGUGUAUUAAAUGUGUGACACACAAGCAUGAGAAGAGGAUACUGACAAAUCAGGUGCUGCUCCAUAAUAUUGCACAACCAAUCAGUCUGCAUUGACUUCAUCAUUCAGAUCACACCUUUGUUCUACACUGACAAAUUAAUUCUCCCCCUCAGUAAAGAGGCAAGUUGUAAAGAUGCCACUCCCUACUGAUGCUUUAAACGCCAGCAUUUAAAGAUACUAGUCUCUUGUCUUUUGCACUUUGUCUGCACUUUUCUGAAUUUCAUUCCUUAGUCAAAACCAAUCUAAACCAAUCUGUGAUGUUUCAACUCCUGAAUCUUCCUGUGCCUGCAGUUCACAAAGGAUGAGGCUCCACACAAGAAUGAGUUAAAUUCCUUUGCCAAUAGUUAACAGUUAUUCAAACCCUUAGGUUCCCCUAAAUCUCAGGGUCAGCUCAAAGGUGGAGUUUCCUCUCAUUUCUUCUUAAAACCACAGGAGACAUUAGUUUUUGUAUAAUUUCCCUCAAAGGUGAACUGGCCUAGACAUUCAUGAAAAUUGAGGUGAUUUUGUUGUCUGACUUUAAGAGCUGUAUGAUGAGACAGAAUAAAACCCUGUAAUUGCACAGCCUUGACUCAAGAUCUAAGUCUUAACUUCAUAGAUUGAUUUCAUUUCUUAUUUUAGUGGAAAAGCUUACACGCAACCAGAUUUGCCCUAAAGGUUAGGUAGAUCAUCUAUGCGUAUAAUCUCAUCUGAAGUCCAUCUGAGAUUUCUUAAAAGUUGCUUUAGAUUAUUUUUUUUUUCCUUUGGUGCUGUCUUGAAAGAUCAAUCCCACAGCUUGAUCAUUAAAGAAUUUCACAUCAUUGCCUUUGCUUGGUUAGGAAACAUGGCAUAUCUCUGCAAGAGCACUCUUCUUUUCCUGCGUCUGUAGAACCUCUGGUUACAAAACGAGCACCAAGAAAUUUACUGGAUGGAUGGCAGAGAAGGAAUUUAGCUUUAAAAAGGCAAGUAAAAUUAAAUGUAGAGCUCAUGUUUUUAAAUCACUUAUAAUUACAUGUUAUUUUGCCUUUACUGCUGUUAAUUAAAAUUAUUUAAUUGAUUUAUCAAUUCAGUAACAUUCUUGGUGACAAAAUAUUUGAGAGAAGAUGCAGUAUAAAGAAUGCCUUUAAGGGAACUCACAGGUUUUUGUCACAUUAUAGCUACUGAAUACCAACCUGCACCUACAUUCUACGAAAGUAAGCAUCAUUUUUAGAGAAGUUAUGUAUUGAGAAAUAACCUAAGAUUAAUCACUGUAUCUAUCCCAACUAUAGUAAGCCACAAGCAAUAUAUUAAGUUAAAAAGCCUGUGUAAAAAAAAAAAUAAUAAAAUAAAAUACAACUCCAAGGGACCCAGACAAUUAGAUCAGCAACCUAAUCUAACAGUUUCAUAAUUUCAAAGAUUGUUGAGGUCAGAGAAACCAUUAGCUCUUCCACCUUGACCUCCUCUUUAAUGAGGGUGAUGGAAUUUCAUUCAUUCCCUGUUGGAGCCUAGAAACUCCUCUGCAGACAACUCUUAUCUUCCAGAGACGCUCUGAACAUAUUCAGAGAUAGAGAUCCCCCUGCCCGUGCCUAUCACAAGUGCGCUUAAGUGGUUAAGUGCAUUCACUGUUAAGCAUCUGAACCUUUUUUCUGGUGUGAGCUUGUGGAGUUUCACCUUUGAAUCCUUGGUUCAAUGCUAAAUAAAGUGUGCCCGCGUCUCCUCUUUACGGAUUUCUUAGCACACCUAGAUAAGUUUUACACUGUCCUUCCUCAUGCUUUUAUUUCCCGUUUCAUUUCUUUCCCUUUUCAUUUCUUCAGUUGGUCACUGCUCACGUUGAUUUCAGUCUACUUAUUUUCUAACACAAGGAUGUUUAGUAAAUUCUGAAGACUAUUUUUUAGAAUUUUUCUUCUUUCCAACAUGGGAAAAUCAUUCUCGUUUCUGCCAGCACUGCUCUCUUCUUUACUAACAGCUGCUAUUUAAUGUUGAAGUCCUGGACAAUAUCUCUAUAAAGUUAAAACAAGACCCUUCAUUGUGACACAGUCAAAAACAAAAGUCUGUCAUUUAAAAAAAAUUUAUGGGUCACCUGCCUGGCUCCUAUAACUACUGAUAACAAGCAGAUGGAAAGGAGCUUGCUUUAGCCAACUUUUACCUUCGGCCCAAAUGUUUUCCAUUAUUGUCUUGCUACUGAUCCUAUGUGAAAAGAAUUCUUUUCUGGUAUUUCUGUGUUAGAACCACAAGAGCCAUGAUUUAAUAGACGUGCUUAUAGCACAUUAUAUGUUACAGGCGUCUUUUCAGAGAUUUCAAAGCCACAUCUUGACAGUUUCAUUUUUUUAAGAGAUGCCUUUAAUAACCGUUUCUUGCUGACUUAAGAAAUGAAGGGGGAAAGUGUAACUUCAAAGUGUUGGCAAAAUAAUAUGAAUUAUCCAAGUGUACUUGUAAAGUUGUUUCCAGUUACAGUAGUAGUAACUCGAGGCUGAUAGCUGAUUUCCCCUUUCCCAGCUGUUUCCAAUUUAAGCCGGUAUCUUUUGGAGUUGUUCCAUACAAUGUUGCUGUACAACAAACCAGUUUAUUUGUCUAUACUUUCUAAAAGAAGGAAAAAAAAAAAGAUUACACAAAACAAGAAGCAACAUAUAGAAGCUAAUUAGAUAAGUAAGUACACAUGAUACUUCCAGUUUUUGUAUCUAUCUAAAGAGCUGAAAGACGUAAUUAACACAACUGAAAUUAAAGAGAUUUAUAAUAAUUUGAAUCACAACAUGAAGACCUGUGUGUCUUGCCGUACAGGGUUGAAAAUUUACCAGUAACUUUCAUAUAUGAGCUAUUGUGGAGAUGAUCUUUAUCUAAGCAAUACUAUGGCAAAAUAAGAGAAAGUAAUAAAAGAAAUUAAUAUUUAAAUAGCUUAUCAUACAUUAUUAAUAGCAUUAGAAGUAGCAUUAAUUAAGACCUUUAUAUUCUUUUUCCCAUCUUCCCCCUAUGUUGCUGUCCAGACUAAUCAUGUAACCUUACUAUACCAAUGGCCUUUGACCAGAUGUGUAAUUGCUAUUAAUUAUUAGCCUUAUGGCUGGCACCGGGCUCACUAAACUCUUCCCUUCAGUACUACUUCCAGAGUUGCAAAAUUCUGCUGUUGCAGACCAACCUAUAUUCUGGUUUUAGACUGCUGGGUUUUUUUGCCCCUGAUUUUCUCCCUUGGGUAUUGCUUUCUCCCCCCCCCCCUAAUUAUGUGUUUUCCCACUGUUGAUCAACUUAUCCUGCUUCUUGUCUUCCAACAGAAAGGAUGGAUUUAUAACACUGGGAAGGAAAGAUUUCUAGCACUAAGGACACUGAGCACCAUACACAGAUAGUCUGCAACACUUGAUGAGUUUCCAUCACUAUGAGAGCAAGUUAAACAAACAUCUGUCAGACAUGACCUCCCCAUAGAUAAGCCUGCCUUGGGGCAAGGGGAUGGAAUAGAUGACCUCUGGAGAUCUUUUCUGGCCAUAAAUUUCUAGGACCCGGAGGGGAAUAAGGCAGGCUGAGCUCACUGCAAUGCAUGGUUAUGACCUGGUCUGUCCUGUGCACGUGCACUGCUAUAGAAGACCAGACACCAUCUUGGCACUACCUGAAAAUGAGCACAGAGUUGACUUCUACAUCUGGGUCCUGGAAGUAAACUUUGGAUCUUAUUCAACAGGUAUAUUUUUCCUUUUGGUCAUCAGCAAUAGAAGUGACAAAUUAAGUGACAUUUGUGUGUACCCCCAUCUUUACAGACUCUGCAAGUUGCAAGUUGCAGCCCUGAUAAAUAAUGAAAAAUAAGUCUUGGCAGAUUGCCUAUAACAAGGUGAUAUUUCCAUUAUUUUCCCCUUUUGCAGCUCUCAUUCUCUGCCCUACAAGAAAGCCUAAUACAGAUAGCAAAGAAAAGACAAAGAUCAUCUCCCCAUUCCUGGGAUCUCACCAGAGAGAGGCAGGUGUUGCAUUAUGCAGAGGGAGCAUGUUCCUCAGUAAUAUUAUCCUGGGAAUUAUCUUAGAGAGAUUGACCUGUGAAUAAUAGCCAAGCCUCAGGGUUAGCCCGGCAGUAAUUAUCCGCUAGACAUUUUCACUAGCCGUAUCCUUUCAGGUCAAGAGGCAAACAUGAGGACUCACAUCCGUGCUUCAUGGCAAAUUAUCAUUCAAUUACAGUGACUUUCGUACCCCAUCAAAUGUAAAUUGAAUUGUCCUUCCUUUUAUAAUACUUAUUUGUAUGAGAAAUUCCAGGGAGUUUUAAAUGCAAGAUACAUAAGCAAUCCAGAGGGAACUAGGAACUGUCCCAGGGACUGUAAUAAAACACUAUAGAAGUUUUCCAUCCAAACAGUUUUGGAGGGAGGGAUCUGUGGCACACAGCUGUAGGCUGUGUCCUUGCUGCAAUCUAAGUUAUUUGGAAUCAGUCGUUCUCCAGCAAACAGUCUUCAAUUUAUGAGAGAGGAGUUGUGCCCCAGAAUGCCCCUUACACGUGUGCAGUAUACUCAUAGUAUCUUUAUGUUUAUCCUUGGCUUAUGCCAAGUUCUGAGCAAAAUUUGCAAGGUUAUUGGAUAUAAGGAAAAAUUUAUUCUCAGAAAGAGUUGUAAUGCAGUGGCACGGGCUGCCCAGGGAGGUGGUGGAGUCGCCAUCCCUGUUCAAGAUGUUCAAGAUGGAAGUGUGGCACUGAGGGAUAUGGUCAGUGGGCAUGGUGAGGAUGGGUUGGAGUUAGAGCAGAUGAUCUUUGUGGUCUUUUCCAACCAUAAUGAUUCUAUUAUUCUCUGAUUCUAAGGUUAAACCCUAUUUAUGAGUUUGCUAUUGGAGUCAGAACACUGAUGUGGUGGGGUGCCAUAGCUCAGUAAGCUGGAAGUGUGUAUGUAUAGCUCAGGGUCAAAGGGCUUAGCACAAAGCAACAACUCAUGGUAGCUCUUUUUGCUGUGAAAGAAAACAUUUUGAGUCUUACCAUUAUGAUACACAGACAAUAGAGAAGUACACCUGGCAAACAGCUCUGGAGUAGAAUAUCGGCGUGAAAGCAUAUUGAAAUGAACCUUUAAAAGGGACAUAAUCCACUUCAAACCAUAAUUUGUAGGUAUCUUUCUUAACCUGUUUUAUUGCAGAAAUGCCUUAAACCGUGGAGAGAGAAGUCAUUGGAAAAUGCACUUGACUUGCUGUUAGUUAUUGAUCUUCUGUGUUUGAUUUUGAUUUUGCAUGUAGCUUAGCCUGCAUGGGGAAAAAUCAAUAAAAUCUGUUUUAGUUUUGUUUAUAGUCUGUUUCUCCCUCUGGCUGCCCAAAUAGUGGUGGUUAGAUUUCAGAGUCUAUUCUGGGAUGUGAAUGCCUGAAAAACAGGAGGUUUUCAUUUGCCUUUUUUUCUUCAUCCUGGAUUUUAUAGAAGUUUUGUUUGAGAUAGUAUAAAGGAGAUUUCUUAAAGAAAUGCAAGUUUUGUUUGGAAAAAAAGAAGAUAACAAGGUAUAUGGAAAGAAGCAGUCUGGAUUAGGUGCAUCUGAUCAACUCUAAAUAUUCACAGCUGAGGCAAUCAGCACAGGCUGCUUUUUUAGCAGUGGAGAGAAACUAUCUAGAUUUCAAUCUUUUCAUUUUAAAAGAGAUGUCUAAAAUAAAGACAUGUAAUAUGUGGCUGGCAAUGUCUACCUCAUUCUGUGGAUUAGAAAAAGAGUCCAGGGUGACAUGUUUGGAUAGAUUCUGGAGAGAAUUCAAGUUAUAAGAUUUCUUUUCCUGUCAGCAUGGGAUCUCUCUCCUUCAUUUGUGUUGGGAUUGCCAGCUCCAUUUCUUGGGUAAGGAAUCAAGGCUGUGGAUUAGUUUUUAAAUACCAGGCUACAAAGUCAUGAUCCCAUUUCUUUGGGUAGUUGGGUAGCCUUAAUUCCAGCUUGCAAAGAAGCAAAGGAAAGAGAACGUCUCCUUCUACAUAGCCUUUAAAGUUGUUAUAAGGUCACUCAACAGGGAGGAUGUUAGCUCUCUGUUGUCAGAAAUUCUUUCUCACCUCUGCUUGCAGAAGUGUGUUUUGAACCUAGAUCUGUUUCUUUUGAGGAAGUUCAGUUUAGUUCAUUAUUGCAUGAAAGGGCAAUGUACCACCAUCAAUGUUUUGGAAGAAUACAGACCUCCUGAAAGGCUAUAGCUACUCAGUUUGAGGAGGACUGAAUGAAUCUCAGGUUUAGAUGAACUAAAGAUUUUCAGUUCCUAAGCCAAGAAUGCAGGCAGAACUUAAGUGACGUUCCCUUUUUAGUGUCAUCCUCUGCUGCCUUUCCAGAAUCAACUAGAAUUCUGUUAAUUCUGCACAUGAACACAAAAGGUAACAAAGAAAUAGUACCUCUACAUUUUUAGCAGACUUUUAGACAAGAAGCAGAGGUCUUUGCUGCAAUGGGAAAUUCAUGGGAGACUGCAAUGGAGUAAAGGUUGAAAACCAUUGUUGCAGAGGAAAUGUAAGGCUAUUCUCUCACAGAAGAUAUUCUCUUGCCAAAAGGUACAUAGGACAAAUUUGUACUGAGUCUGUCUGAGAUUUAAUGUCUUGCUGUUGUUGAUUGUGUGUCCAGAUAUUAUGGAAAAAAGGCCAUAUAAAUGGAUCUGGGUAAAAUAUUUCAGUGGUUUGUUUACCAUAUAAUGUGAUGUGAUGUCCAUAUAUAUUACCAAUUUUCCAUCCCAGAAAAGCAAAUCUAAAAAUAAGAAAAACAUUGACAUGAAAGAUUUCAAUGGCUUGGUAGAAACUGUUAGCUUAAGCCUAUUGGCCUAAAGAAAUAAAAAUGUAAAAGAAUGAGGGAAAACUACCUCCACAAAGGAAAACUUGAUAUGUUGGUCCAAGCUAAAUGUUUCCGUUGACCCCACUUUUUUUCUUCUUCCAAUUACACAGCUGCUUUUUAGUGAAAAGAAAAACAACGAGAAAGCUCGUUUAGGUCAGCCUAAGAUACAGUUGCUCCUUUCUUAAUUUUUUUUGGUUCACUUUGUGAAUCAAGAUGUUUAAUGGAGCCAAAGUCUUCAAAGCUCCUUCAGUAGCAUAAAUGAAUGAACGUACAUGAGCUAAGUUCAAGCAGUAAUGAUAGUGUUUAGUAUUCCUUUUAAUUUUUGCGGUGAAGCUAAUUCUUUAUUUUAAACAUGAGCCAAAGUAUACCCUUAAGUAUGAACUUAUGCUAGUUGAAGUCACUGCUUGAAUCAGGUCCUCUGUAUAGGAAUGCUAUGUUGAAAAUACAUAGGGGAAACAGGGAAAUGGAAAGAUAAUGAAAGCAAUGAAGAAACGUAGAAGCACAGAAUCAGGGAACAUCUUGGGAUGAAAGGGACUUUAAAGAUCACCCAGCUCCAAACCCCUCCCAUGGCCUGGUUGCCCCCGCUAGCUCAGGCUGCCCAGGGCCCAUCCAACCUGGCCUUGGGCACCUCCAGGGAUGGGACAUCCACACAGCUCUCUCUCACUGGCUGCAGUGCCAGUGCUAGGAAAAUAGCAAAGCAGAAAUCAAUAAAGUGUCCACUGUGAAAUAAAUGUUGAUUAUUAAAUUCAACUAAGUGGUGUAAGACUAUAUCUUAUUAUACACAGAUAUAGAGAUGCCUUAUGGAUCUGGAGAUCCCUUGAUGCUGGAGAGUUGAAGUAGCAACAAUAAUAAUUCCCUCUUGGAAUUUUGUAUGCUAUCAUACCAUAAAUAUUUUCCCCUAAUAGUAUUUAAAAAUGCAACCAUUAGACACAUAUCCUAGCUAGAUUUAUUUGAAACAAGAUGAUUUAGUCACAUUCUCAGUGGAGGGAUAAGUAAUAGAAUUUUUGAAUUAACAUUUACCAUUAUAAUUUUUAAAGAGAAUUUUUUAAAGUUUUGGCUUUCAAAGGAAAAGUGAGUAGAACUAUUUAUAAUAUUUAACCUUCGGGUAACUUCAUCGUUUCUUUCAGUCUCUGUGUCUUAAUCAGUAAACAAAAUCAAUUCUGAUUCUUUCAGUCAGGAAAAAAGUAAUUAAAAGGUUAAAAGUGAGAAAAUGCUGUGAAAGAUAGGAAGGCAGGAAGAAAAAAAAAGCCACCAGGCAAGCUUCACUGGUUAAAAAAAUUGAAUUUUUGUAAUUCUUUGCCUAUGUUAUCAGGCGAGGCUUACAGUAAUCCUCCCAGAAGGAAGAUGCUCAACAGGUAUUUAAUGUAUUCAUAGAAGCUGUGCAGAGUAUUGGCAGAAUUCAAAGCCUGGAGUGAGGAGUUCCCAAACGAGUGUUGCUGAGCCAGGGCCCCUGUUGACUUACAAAUCCAGUGUGCAGAAAUAUGUGCAAAGCAGCAUCUGUGCUAGGCAACUGUGCUGUGUAUAUCAACACAUGUCAGAAACAGACCUCUCAUUAGUUCCCACCUCAGGCUGUGCUGGAUACACAUGGAAAUGCAUGUCCAAAGGUUGGACACGACUCACAAGGAAACAGGUGAACAACCCUGACAUUACUGCUGCCAAGCCUGGCAGGAAUUUUAUUCCACAUGACGUUUCCUAUAGCUGGACUUAAAACUCUUUUUGCCCUCUGCAGUAUUGCUCAUGCAAUUCUUCCACCCUGCCGUGCCAUUACAGCCAACCUUCCAGCCAUUUAGGAAGAGUUUGCCUAAAUUUGUUGACUAAUGGGGUGGCAUCUUUAUUUUUUUCCUGCUCUCAGGCUUUUUGCCUUUUGGCUUUUGCUGUGCAUAGAAGAGAUGGGGCCCUGCAUCUCCAGGGCAGGACUCUAGGCUGAGAGUCGGGAAAUGAAGAACUGCUUUGCUUGAUUACAACACAGAUCCUUCCAACACUGUGACCUGACACUCACCAGAUCCUGAUUACUCAAAGAAUCUAGGAACGUAAAUCAUUGAUUUUACUCUGAUUUCUAAAUUACUUUUUAUUUGUAAGCAAGGAAGCUGAAUACUUAUUCUCUGAAAGAGUGAUAAUGCAUUGGCACAGGCUGUCCAGGGAGGUGGUGGAGUGACUGUCCCUGGAGGUGUUCCAGAACCACGGAGAUGUGGUACUGAGGGACAUGGUCAGUGAGCAUGGUAAGGAUGAAUUGGGGUUGGGAUUGGUGAUCAUAGAGGUCUUUUCCAACCUGAAUAAUUCUGUGAUUCUAUUCUAUACCUCUUCCAUAAACUCAGUGACUAACUAAUUACCCUGAGAAGCUGUGAGGUUUUCCAGCUAGAAGUUUAUUGAGAUAACUGUGUUGAGUCCUGUAACUCUGAUAAGAGUAAACAGUUCUUCUUCCAUUGAUACCAAGUGUGGUGAAGCUGAUACAAACCAGCUGGACCUGGUCUUACAGUUUAUUUAACAAUAAGCUAUCUAAAAAUAUUGAUUUGCACUGUCUGUGCUUCUGCUCUCUGCCUCUGACCUGUGGCCUCUUCUUGUGUAAACACGCAUUCUUUGGCUGGUGAGAGACAUAAUGAUGGUCUCUGGUCCAUAAGCUGAAAUCAAGUUUGUUUAAAAAGCCUCUCCAAGGACACUUCACCCACUGAAAGUCGAUGAUGAUGGUCCUUAUAAAUCCGAUGUUAAUAACAACAUUGUGAGCUGCCUGGUCAUGUAGUAGUGCUGACCGAAAAAUACACAGGCUCAAACAUCAUGUAGAUCAUUUAAAAACAUUAGCAUGUAUACACAAAAAAGAUUUUACAGUUGAAAUUGCAGUAUAGAAGAAGAACUUGCAUGCCAUGGAUCUCCUCAGUAUUUAAAGGGAGCUGUAUGAAAGGAGGGGACAGACUCUUUGGCAAGAUCUGUUGUGAUCGGACAAGGGGAAAUGGAUCCAAAUUAAAAUGGGAAAUUUAGACUGGAUAUGAUAUAUAUAUAUUUUUUUACAGUACAGGCGAUGAGACACUGGCACAGAUUGCUGAAAGAGGUGUUGGGUGUCCCAUCCCUUGAGACAUCCAAGGCCAGGAUGGAUGGGCUCUGAGCACCUGGUGGAGCUGUGGGUGACCCUGUUCAGGGGAGUUGGACCAAAUUUCCAUAAGGAUCUCUUCCAACUCAAACGAUUGUAUAAUCUGCAGAGACCAAGAGCUUUGCUUGGGUACAUUUUGCCCCCUGCAGUGUUAUUGGUGUACCCGAGGAAAAAAAGAUGGUCCUUCCUCUUCAGAAAAAAAAAAAAAAAUCCACCUGCGUGAGCUAUGUAAAAGACAAGUCUUAUCUCUAGUACAAUAGAAGGAAAAGAGCCUGACAUUUCAAGUCAUCAGUAAGAAUGGACAUUGCUGCUUUCUCUGAAAAAAGAGUAUGUAUUAGGACAGUGCAAAUCAUCAUCAGCAACUCUCUCAAGAACUGAGAGACAGAAAGGAGUAGAGCACCAUUCCUUUUGUGAGUGAGUUAUGGGUAACACAAUGAGAAACACUUCAGGGCAAAUUCCAUGAAAUCUUUGACUGUCUUUGAAAUACCAGGACCUGGAAGAGUGGCUGGCCCUUUUGUGCCUUGGAUACAGGACAUCAGUCCUGCCAAGAGCCCCACACCAGCUCAGGAUAAAUGUGUGUCACAUGAGGAAGACCACCAAUGUAGAAUCAUGGAAUCGUUUGAGGUGGAAGGAACCUUUCAAGGUCAUCUGGUCCAACUCCCCUGUGAUGGUGGGGACACCUACCUGUUCCAGUACCACAUUGCUCUUAAUGUAAAAAACAAUGUUCCUAUAUCUAAAUCUCCCCUCUUACAGUUUGGAGCCAUUUCUCCUUGUCAAAUCACAACAGAUCCUGAUCGAGAGUCUGUCCCCUUCUUUCUUAUAGCACCCAUAUUUAUGCCUGGGGUUAUGGCUAUUUAGGAGUAUUUAGGACAUGUUUUUUUUAUCUGCUGCAGGGGCGAAUUUAGGUCUUGAGUGUAGUGUUCCUUGCUCUAGAGAGGAAGGAUUUCUGCACUCAUAUGGGGCCUUCCUACAAAAAAUGCCUCAGAGGCCUAAAAGGACAGUAUGGAAUGAGUGAAGACUGGCCCAGUUUUCUUCUCCCCUGCAGCCUGUGCUUUGGCUGAUAUAUCUGUAAAAGGGAGAUGUUGGGCUUGUUUGCACUUCAUGCCAGGCUGUGCACAAAUUUCAGUGGCUGCAGAUUGAAUCAAUCAGUCUCUCAGACUUUAUUAACAAAUGACUGCAUGCCAACAUCCUCCUGCUGGAGGUGGUUAACGUAGGUACCAAGUCCCGUUCUAUCUGGGUUAUCAGAGUCAAUACUUCAUUUCUUGAAUGGGGGAACCAUGUGAUUAACCUGGAUGCAUAAAGGCUAACAUACAAUGAAGAAGUCACUGCACAUACCCAAGCAUUUAAGGAAAAGUGUCUUAAGGCAGAACAAGUCCGUUGCCUUCUGAGGGUUCCUAUUUAGAACCAAAGAACCACAGAAUCAGUAAGGCCGGAAAAGACCUCCAAGAAGCCAAGGGGCACCAGCUCAGUUAUCUAAUGUGGGAUGAUCAACACCCUGCUCAAAACAAAUGAACUAAUAUGAUCAUGCAUUGUAUUCAUAGCUCUUUCUAAACGCACAUGAUUGAAGAUUAAUGCUUAAAGCCUUUGUACUUUUCUAAAAAGAUCAGCUAGAUUAAAAGUGAAAAUAAUAUGUAAAAUUCCUGGAAGUGUAGCAAGUUUAAGGGAAACGGCCACUGAUCCAUAUUCCUGGUUUUAAACCUCAUAUUAGGAAAUAAAUUGACAUUUUGCAGCUCUGAAUGGACAAGCAUGUCGAUUCACAUGCAAGUUUUAAGUUGACCAGUGAAAUGCAGGGCUAACAUCCUCGCAGCCUGCUACGGUGACACUGUGAUCCUUGUCACUUAUUAAAGUUUUAUUUUGUUCCCCCACGAACACGACAAUUAAUUAUUUAGAAUACCAAUCAAUCAGGGGUUAGAUGUACUAAUCAAAAACAUUCCAGCUGCUAAGUAUUGCUCACUUAAGACAUUGAUCAGCUGUAGGAUGCUCUGUAGACCAUUUAGAUGAGUAUUUUCUGACAAUGUGCUUCAAACCCCCUUGAGGUCAAAUCUUUGACACCGUCUGCUGGACCAUGUGGAAGGUUGAAUGCCAGACUGUCUGACAGACUGUAAUUAUUUUCUGUCCUGUUGCCCUUUCUGCAGUCAUUAGGGGAUCAAAUUUCUGAGAAAGCCAGAAAAGUUCCUUGUACUGCAAGCAGCUAAUGGGCUGAAAAUGAGUCCCUAUUGUUAUGUUGAUGAUUUGCCACUGGAUGUUGUUUGAAGCCCAGAAUUGAUUAUUUAGGGCUGAUUCUAUUCCUAUUCGUGGUCUUUCUUGCUUUCUUGUAUUUUCCCCCAUGCUGAAAGAUGUGUGGAUGGUAUUCAAAUGCAAUUGGUUCACUGGUGGCAUCUUCAGGUGCUCUGAUAAGGGUAGAUGUCAAUGGAGAGUCCCCUAAAAGUGCUGAUGAUGGGCUCUCCAGCUAGCUGCUGAAUGAGCACGAUGAAACUUAGAUUUUCUGUCUUUCAGGACAAUGCCCUGACUGUUCAUAGAAAUGGCUAAGAGAAAUUAAGACGACAUUUCCCAAUAAAUAAUUGAAGAAUGAGACACAUUGUUUGCAGUCCUAACAUGACUGCAGAUUUAGGCUAUUGCCUGGCAAGUUACUAUACAAAUUCCCCUUACGCUGACCCCUGUGGUAAUUGGAAUUUCAAUUAUUCAUUUUCAAUUACAAGCAUGGCAUGAUGAUCACAAAUGUCAUUAAGUAUUAAAUUACAUCUAAUGAUAGAUGGAUGGACAGAUAGGUAGAUGAUUCUCCAGAUAUUUCCUUUAUUUAAUGCCAGUAAAUCAUGCACAUGUUUUUCAUGGAAGAACAUUUAUAAAAUACAAAGAAGAUAUUAAAACAUCUUUUUAUUUGCAGCGGAUAAAACCCCUUUAAUGCACAUUAUGUGAGAGCAGCAUACGUUUUCACCAUCUGCAUCAUUAAGGCAAGUGGUGCCCAGUGUGUGUGUACACAAAGGCAGGUACUUUGGUGUGCAGAGAGUGGCAAGGCAAAGGGAAACCAUUUGCUUCCUGUCCUAUUAGAGAUGACAUCCUGGUGCUUGUAAUUGGGAUCUUUCCUUAACAGCUCGCUCGGUGUCUUUCCAUUGUGCAAUACUGUGUGCAAUGAGCUCAACUACACACCAUGUAUUAGCAACCUGAAAGUCUAAGUGGGGAAAUUAGCAGUGGGACGUGAUGCCAAAAGUAUAUUUGAUUUGUGUUAGAUGAUUUGUAUUCACCUGUUAGUUCUUUGGUGUGGUAUGUAGACAUCCUCAGAAAGAGAAUCUGCUACAAGACUUAGAAUCAUAGCAUAGAAACAUAGAAUCAUAUCAUAGAAUUGCUUAGGUUGGAGGGGCAGUUAAACAUCAUCUUGUUCUAACACCCUGCAUGGGCUGGUUGCCCCCCACCAGCUCAGGCUGCCAGGGUCCCAUCCAGCCUGGCCUUGACUGCCUCCAGGGAUGGGGCACCCACAGCUUCUCUGGGCAGCAGUGCCAGGGCCUCACCUCUGAGUAAAGAAUUUCUUCCUAACAUCUAACAUAAAUCUGCCCUCUUCUAGUUUAAAGCCACUCCCCCUUGUCCCAUCACUAUCAGAUUGUGUAAAAAGUCAGCCACCCUCCUGCUUGUAAGCUCCCCUCAGGUACUGGAAGGCCACAAUGAGGUCUCCCCGCAGCCUUCCCUUCUCCAAGCUAAACAUUUACAGCUUCCUCAGCCUAUCUUUGUAGGAGAGGCUCUCCAGAACUCUGAGAAUCUUCAUGACCCUCCUCUGGACCCGCUCCAACAGCUCCACAUCCUUUCCAUACUGGAGGCCCUAGGCCUAAUUAUCUCAUAACUGUAAGGGACCUUCAAAAUGAUACUGUGUGGACAUAAAUAAUGUCUAUAAAGUGACACAGUUAUCAUUUAUGCAAAAUAGAACUGAGACAAUAUUAAAAUAGCUUGCCCUAGGCUGCAUAUUGGCAGAGACAUUGGCAAAGACAGAUCCUAUAUCUUCUUCCUAAAUACCUCUUCUCUGCCAGCUCUUAAUUUCUCAUUUGUCUGAUGAGGAUGAAACUAUUCUUACCAAAUCUAAAUAUCCUGAAUUCAUAUUUAUCACUCUUACAAUUUACCCAUGACCUUUCUGCAGUGGUAUAUUUUUCACAAGCAUCACCUUUUCUGCUGUCCAGGUAUUUAUUGAUUAAUUUUGUCCUUUUCCACUGCCAGCCUAUUACUUUUCUCACUCCUUCUUUCAUCUUCUCCCCCUUCCUCUUUUCUAUACAGAUGUCUAUUCAUGUCCUGACAUGGAAGCAUUCCUUUGCCAGUUACAACCUGCAAGCCCCCACUUAGUUAUCAGUCCCCCUCCUCGUUCAUAUAUUUAUCUUCUCUCUCCUUUUUCAUCCCUUCCCUCCCCAGUCCCUGUUUUCUGCCUUUGUGAAGCCCUUCUCACAGUGCCUGUAGCAGCAGUUGGGGAAUCAUCCAUCACUGCAGUCGCAGCUUUGCUCCUGCAAGGCACAGCAUCGAGGAGCUGAUUAGAGCUGGAGGGCCCCAGUCAGGUUUGUGUUGCUGCCAGCUCUUCCUGGGAAUUGCUACUGUGCAGAUUUUACAGAUACAAUCUCACCUGAGCUGAUGAAUAAUUCUUCAGGGUUCUUUUUUCCUUUUCCUUUUCCUUUCCCUUUUUUUCUUUUUCCUUUUCUCUUUUCUCUUUGUUUUUCUCCUUUUUUCCUUUCUUUUCUCUCUUUUUCCUUUUUUGUCCCUUUUUUCUUUUUUCUUUCUUUUUCCUUUUUCUUUCCUUUUUAUUCUUUUUUCCUUUUUCCAUUUUCUUUUUUUUUUCUUUCUCUUUGUUUUUUCUUUUCUCUUUUUGCUUUUUUCCUCUUGCUCAGGUGAGUGGCAAAAACACAAGAAUGGGCAUCUGCUCCUUUUGGUGGUGAAUGGAGUUAAAAUCAGCUGGUGGCAAGUCACUAGUGUUGUUCCCCAGGGCCUGUCCUGUUUAAUAUCUUUAUUGACAAUCUGGGCAGAGAGAGUGCUCCCUAAGUAAGUUUGCAGAUGGCACCACACUGGGAGGAAAUGUUAAUCUGCCUGGGGGUAGGAGGACCCUAUAGAGCGAUCUGGAUGGGCUGGAUUGAUGGGCUGAGGCCAAUCUGUAUGUGUUUUAGCAAGAGGAGCAAGUGUUAGGUCUUGCACUUUGGUCACAAAAACCCCAGGCAACUCUACAGGCUUGGGGCAGAGUGGCUGGAAAGUUGCAUGGGGGAGAAGAGAAGGAUCUGAGGAUGUUGGUUGACACACAGCUGAACACAAGCCAGCACUGUGCCCAGGUGGCCAAGAAUGCCGCUAGCAUCCUGGCUUGUAUCAGCAGUAGUGCAGCCAGCAGGAGCAGAAGCUGAUAAUCCCUCUGUACUCAGCACUGGUGAGGCCGCACCUCGAGUGCUGUGCUCAGUGUUGGGCCCCUCACUAUAAGAAAGACUCUGAGGCCCUAGAAUGUGUCCAGAGAAGGGCAACGAAACUGUGAGGGGUCUGGAGCAUAAGUCUUAUGGGGAGCAGCUGAAGGAAUUGGGAUUGCUCAGUGUGUAGACACCAGUGCCUGAACAAGCUCUGAAACAAGGAGGCCUUUUUGAUAUUGCAGUCUAAGGGAACAACAAAGUUUGUUAGUUGGAAGGCAUAGUUAAAUAAAUUCAGUCUUGAAGGCAUGUGCAGUUUUGUAGCAGUGAGGUUAAUUAAGCACUGUAACAUCUAACCAGGAGAUGUGGCAGACUCAUCAUCAUCCCAGUUCUAUAAAACCAGAUCAUCUAUAUAUUGGAAAAGCUUAAUCCAACUGCUCAGAGAAGCUGUUUUGUCUGUGUACUGAGACAGGCUGAUGAGAGAUCCCCCUGGCCAUAGAACCUGUGCACCUCUGAAUCAUCUUACAAACAAUGAGCUGAGGCAUUUCAGGUGGAAUUCAUCCUGUUGCAGUGAUACAACUACUUUAAGGUCUUACUUAAAUACCUUUAUGUCCUCAAACAAGAAGUAAUGCAUUCAUGGGAUGUAGAUGUCCUCUUUGGUGCUUACCCUGGGAGAUGUCAUUCACAUCCCAAGCAUAUGCCCUGCCUCUAAAGACUGCUUGAGAGACAGGUCUCAAAGCACUGUAGGUUACACUUUAAUACAGAAAAUUGCUAUCACAUUAAUAAAAUCAACUGAGUAAUAAACAGAUGCAAAAUACAUACAUAUAUAUAUAUGUAUAUGUAUAUAUAGAGAGAGAGCAUUUAAUGAGCUUUUUUUGGCUACCCCUGCAUGUGAAACAGUGACUAUUGAGGGAGAUAUAUGACAGCUUGGUUAUCAAACUUACCCACUUGAUGCAUGUGCCAUGCAGCCUUACACCCAUUUUAUUCUUUCACAUGAACUUUAUUCUAAAAAGUUGGGAUUCCUCUCAUUUAAGAUUAGAUGUCUCCAUCUAAGCUGGGCACUUUGGGCUCUGUAUGUACUCAGUACUAAAAGGUAUUAUUAAAGGAAUGAUUGGUCUCAGCUAUUACAGAUGCCUACUUUAAGACAAAGUGAGUCAUGCUGUAAUAUUGCCUAUUUUCCUCCAAAGGUUAAAGAGGGAAUCUAGGAUAGAAGUUUGACGGUCUUAAUUUGAUCACAUGACCCUAUCGAUAUUACCUCAAUACCUCUGGAAAUUUAACCUUUACAUUAUGUUUGGUUAGCUAGUUAUUAUAGAUUAAUGAUAAUGAUCCAUGGUGACCUGCAUUAUUUAUUCAUUCUCCUGCAACUCAUUCCUGCCUGGAAAAUGAAGCAUUUGAAUGCUUAAGACUCUCUGCAAAUAGUUUAGUUUGGCUUUUGAGAAGGGUCUUAGUGAGGUGCAACUGUUCCAAAAUGAGAUCUUUGGCUUGGCUAUCUGGAUUUUGCAUCAUUUUUGGCUCAAACAGUUAUUUCCUGAACUUUGAAGGAAAUCUGUCAUUCAUUGUUACCAAUUAGAUGCCUUUACAACAUGACCUGGAAACUCUUCGCAACAACUUGUUGUUAUUAAUAACAUGAACUACAGCUGGGGUGUGCCAGUAGUUCAGGAGUCACAGAGCAGCAUGACAGUUUAAUUUGGUACCUUGAUGAGAUUUCUGCCUGCAAAGUUGCACAGAAUAUAAAAGACUCUGCCCAUAUGACACUGUUGGGAGCACUGUAAGGAAUUCCCAGACUAUCUUUGUUUAUUUGAAAGCAUUCAUACUCGAGGAUUUUAAAAGGCAUAUAUUGUAGAUUUGUAAGUUGGAAGAGACAAACCUGAUCACCUUAAUAAUUAAUAAUCAUAUUUAGCUAUUUGUCUGAGCACUUUGUAAACAUAAUAUCCAUAGGUUGGAUAUCCAGGAAACACUGGAAUAGGCUCCCUAGGGAGGUGGUUGAGUCACCAUCCCUGGAUGUGUUUAAAAACAAUUUGGAUGUGGUGCUCAGGGACAUGAUUUAGCAGAGGGUUGUUAGAGUUAGGGUAGUAUGGUUAGGUCAUGGUUGGACUCGAUGAUCUUUAAGGUCUUUUUCAACCUGAGUGAUUCUAUGAUUCUAUUUGUUGACUAGUCACCAUUCCAUCAAGCUAUAUAAGAACUAUUAAUUAUUCUGUUUAAGAGUCAUACAUCCCACUACUGAUGGAGCCAUCUUCCUGAAGCUGUAGACUUAUAGACAUAUCUUCAAUCUAUAAAGUCAUGAAAGAAAAGCUUAAAGUCCAUUAGUUGAUGAAAAGAUGCCAUCACAUGCGAUUGUAUGCAAUGAAUCCCAAAUUUUGCACAGGUUUGUUCUUCCUCUUCCAGGAUGACUGCUGCUCUGAUGCCAAUCCACAUUAAUUUCACAAGUUUCAGUUGCUUUACAGUGAGAUUCUAGUAGGUGUUGUACUCUGAGACUGCAGACCUGAGAGCAGAGCAAAGAGCAAAUCUCUGCUUUGUCUAAGUCACUUGGCAACCUUCUAGAAGACGAGCUAAAAAAUGCUUAUGCAAAACUCCCAGCACUGUGUUUCAGAUAAUUUCAAUCCAGUUAACAACAAAAUGAAAGUAUGUCUGACCUUAAACAUGUAUGAUGAAUCUGGCAAAAGUUGAACAUUGCAAAGUUUUUGCUUAACCAAUCACUGCAGAAUAUAUAACAUUCAGUCUACAUGACUGUCAGUGUCUGUCUAUGUGUCUAAUAAAUGAUAUGAGGUUAUGAGGUGCUCUAAUUUUAUUACAGUGUAUGCCAAGUUUGAAAACUAUUUAAUUAUGGGAUAUUUUUAAAAGAUUGAAGAGAAAUUGGUGCCCAACUUCAUAUAUCAACAUUAUUAACUUUAUCACUGCUAAGCAGUAGAGUUGGACUCAGUGAUCCUUAUGGUUCCUUUCCAAUUUGGGAUAUUCUAUGAUUCCAAGCAGAUCAGAACUACAGUCAGGCAAUGACUAUUAUCUCUGAAUAUUACCUAGGCAUUUCCUAUAGCAUUAUGAGAAAACCAAGCACCCUAAAAGUUUACAUGAGUGUCAGGGAAUGUACCGGUGUUAGAGAAACAUGUGGCAGUGUAUUCUCUUAGAAAACUUUCUGAAAGUUUUCAUCUCACAGUAUGUGGAAGUAAACACAGGAAACAAAUAAAUAAAUGAAUCAAUGGGCAGAUGACUUCUCCUUUUUUCCUCUCUUUUCUGAAUGAAAGCAACUGCUGUACUUAUUUUCCAGCUGAGAAGUGAAAUUAAAUUGUCUGGGUACUUGAUGGCCUACUGUUUCUAGAAAACUAUUAAGAUGCUGCUUCCAAGUAGAGGACAGCUUUCUUGACCCUCUUUAGCUGGCUUUUCUAGUGGCCCCCUGAUGACUUCAUCACUGUGCAGCAGGCAGAUCACCAGAGGUGACCAUGUUUAACAGUGUCUUCCUCUAAGUGGCAAUUUAAGUGAGCAAGGGAGCACACUGGACUGGUUCCUAAAUGUGGGGGUGGGGGGAUCUGAGGGAGGAAGGGAACAUUUAGUGCUGGCUAUCUUGUCUCUUAGGAGCACGGUGAUACAACAGGCUUCCAGUCAUUCUAGGUCAUAUGCUGUCUGGGAAUGUGAAUCACCAGUGCUAAUGAUAAGUCUAUCUGGGAUCAGAAUAUCAAGCAGAAACACUCAUGUCUUUCUUGCAGAGUCUUAUAGUUUUGUAGUGAAAAUGCUGUUUCACUUAAUAGUGGUGCUUUAUGAAAUUUACAACGGGAAUCAACCUUAGGUAUGAAGAGCAGAACAAACUUAAUGCUCAGAGCUUUUCUUCUAAUUACAACUUUGGCAGCAAUGCUUUGACUUGACCUCACUUCAAGAUCUCUGUGGCUCAAGCCUGCCACAUCUACGCUACCCUAGUGCCAUGAGCAGUGUUUCCCAUCGUGGUUCUUGAGCAUGAGAGAGCAGUUGCGUAGGCACAUAGGAAAAGAGAGUAUCCCACUUUUUGGGUUGCAAGAAAAGUUCCAACCAAGGCUUGUGUGAGGUCUGAGCUCACACAAAUACCUGGCAACCUGGAGAUGCCUGCUGUUCAUAUCACAAAGGCAUCUCUGCCAAGACAGGAAACACCCUGACACUUCCCUCCAUGUGUUAGCCAGAAAUGUGUUUUCAACAACUGAUCAAUGAAUGAGACCCAGGUUUCCUCUCCUGGACACCCAACACUUCCUGCCGGAGGUGUUUUCCCUCCUCUUUCAUUUAUUCUGCUUUUGGAUCUCUAGUCAAUGUUGUUGAAAGGGCAUAAAGGUUCACCUUAAGGGGAAUUGUGACAGAUAGAAAACAUUUAUCAAAAGGAAUCCCUUCUGGAGACAGAGCAAAGAAGAAAAGACAAAUGGCAACAAGACCCUCAAGGCAAAUUUCUAGUUAAAUACUUCUGGGGGCCCAGAUUCAGACGCUUGUGCUGAGAGCAAGCAGCUAUUCUUACAUCCUGGGCUUCAGUGUAGUUCUUUGCACAGAAGCCACAUGAACACAAAUUUUGUGACUGCAGAGCAGAUGAAUGAUUGUCUUCUCCAUCCAGCUCUGAAGCUUUCAUUCAGGAUUGCUGAGCCUUUAUUUGCAAAGAGUAAAGCUGCCCAUCAGACAAUGUCAUCAAAUGAACCAAAAGGAGGACCGGUUUCACUCUGAAGUGAACCUAUUGUGGCAGCACUUUAGAACGUGGUGACAGUGGCUUAAGAUGCUCCUUUAUUUUUCCUUCUGUGGACUGUUCUUUUCAGAAAGCUAACCCUGCAUGUGAUUAUUUUUAUGAUCUGAGAAAAGGCUAUGGAAACAGUUUAUCUUUUUGUGUUUAUAUAAAUUCUCUAAUCUAAAUCUAACCACUCAUCCAUUUAAAAGCAAAAGCAACUUUUAUGGUACUCUGAAAAAGAUCCUCCACUAUAAAUCAGCAUUUCACCAUUGAAUUUCAAUUAAUUUCACCCUUGGCUAAGUAGACUGCAAGGGAUCUAGGUAGCUGAGUGGUCUGGCCUUUUGGUUUAGUGGAUUGUAUUAUACAAACUUGCAGGAAAUAAAGGAAUGUGUAUAAUUAUACAGUAUUUUCCUGAGAUAACAUAUAUUUUAUUUGAGCUCUCCAAGCGUAUUACUGUGCAGCAUAUAUUCUCCUUUCUUCCCUUCUCUCUUUGUCUCUCUCUCUUUCUUUCUCUCUCUUUUUAAAAAAUAAGUCAUUACUGAUCCAAUUUAAGUAAGGUAAUAAAAAAGAAGAGGAAAAAUAUUUCCUUGUAAUUUUAUAGGAAUUCAGCCUUUGGAGCAGCAGCAUUCUUCAAACUAUAACUAGUUUUCAUUGAGAUGAGUUGCUCUCACAGUGGAAAUAUUCUUCAAACGCUUGGCUUGCAAAAGAAAAUAAUCAUCAACUUGUUGAAACGAUGCCUUCUUGUUGCUGCACAAAAUCUAACCACUAAAUACCCAGAAGUAUAGAUAGGAACCUCCUUAAUACAGGUACUCAAAUGCAAUUUCCACUUCUGUUUCCAUUCAUCCAGUGGUUUUAGAAUCAGGCUUGAGUAGUGUGCACACUGUGCAGCUGACUGCAAACAGAAAUAAUAGUAAGAUGGAAAAAAAAAAGAAUAAGAAAGAGAUGAUAAACUUUUUGACCAUAUGUCUGCAAGGGAACAAGGAGUCUUCAGGAUAUAUUGGCUUUAGAUGGCUGUCAUUAAAUUUGGUGAGAUUUUUGUUUGUGGAGACAACUGCAUUUUGGCCUCUGUCAUGGUCCUUAAGUACACCGCCCUCUUUCCCCAGCUUCGGUAUCUAUGUGAGAGAUCAUGGCUACUCACUGAGGUUUCUAUUGGGAGCAUGUACUCUGUGCACUUUAUGGUAUGACGUGGCAAUUAUCCCAAAUCCCAUUCUGCAACCCUAGAAAAGAAAACUUGUCUCUCUUUUCCCCUUUGCAGAAACCAAAUUGAAUGGAAAACAGUACUCAGGAGAAGAAAAUUGUUCUUCGUGUUCUGUAUGACAUCCACUCUUAUAGAACACCUGACUGUGAAGUGGAUCCAGAGGAGGGCCACAGAGUUGUAAGAGGGUUGGGUCACCUCUCCUAUGAAGCUGGGUAGAUGCAGUUGGGCUUGUUCAGCCCAGAGAAGAAAAGGCUGCAGAGAGAUCUCAUUGCAGCCUUCCAAAACUUGAAGGGAGCUUAUAAACAGGAGGGAGACUGAAUUUAUACAUAGUCUCAUAGUGAUAGAACAAGAGGAAAUGGCUUUAAACUAAGACAAGAUUUAGGUUAGAUUUUAGACAGAAUUUUUUACUCAGAGAUCAAUGAGGCCCUGGCACAGAUUGCCCAGAGAAGUUGUGGGUGUUCCAUCCCUGGAGGUGUUCAGGGCCAGGUUGGAUGGGACCUGGGGCAGCCUGAUCUGAUGGGGGGCAACUACCCCAUGGCAGGAGUUUUGGAACUGGGUGAUCUUUAAAGUCCCUUCCAACGUAAGUCAUUCUAUGAUUUUGUGAUUCUAUGAUCCAGUGUUCAUGAUGAACUUGCUGCAGUCAGGAUGACUGUAAGUCAUUUCCAGCUGCCUUCCUCACCCAAACAUCAUUUACCAGUAGUCCGUUGUCUGCUGCUACUGUGGUAGGAGGCUCUUUGUCCUGUGUACAUUCAUCUUGAUAUCAUCUUGAAAGAGAGACAGAGAAUGGCAAGCUUUUCAAUCAGACUUUUAUUUUUUUUUAACCUUAGAUCCAUUCUCUUUUUCCAAUAAGUCUGCCUGACAAGACUGCCAGAGUCAGGAGAAAGAAAGGUAAAAUACAGGAAGAUUAGGGAAGGAGCACCGAAUCUGUGAUCUUCAGUUCAGCUCUUCUCUCAUUACUUUUCCAUUGCAACUAUAAACACAUUCUUGCUUUCUGAACACUUUUUUUUCACUGAUGCUGAGUAAGGAAUAUCAGUGAUUUUCAUGUGCACUGGAAUAGAGAGGCAUCUAGCUUGACUAGGAGCAGGGAAGGGAGAAAAUGAGAGAUGUUAACAUGCCAUCACAUUUGUUAAGGUAAACCAUACAUUGCUGCUGCUACUGGAGGAUGAAAGGAAAUGCAUUCCUAUUUUGUAAUGAAUAAUCAAAGCCAUUCCACUUGGGGUUUCUCUGCAGCUAAACCUUGAAGCAAUGGCACGGUGGAUUUUUAAUGACCCGCAGAGGAGAACAAUGACCACCAAUGCAGUUUGGGAGUACAGAGUUAUUGUCAUUUUUUAUUCCAGUCUCCUUAAACCCUCUCCCUUUUUUUUUUUUAAAGCCUUUGUUCUCCGCCUUUCAACAGAUAGUUCUGUUGUAUGGUUAUAAAUAACUUUACGGCCUGUUUUUACUUACACACACACACUCUAUUCUGCAGAGUGAAUGGUAACACUGAAAUCAAGAACCAUGCUUCUCCAGCUCCAAACAAAGGCACUGCUACUUCUCGGCAGCACCAGGAUUUGACCUGGGGGUCCUCCAGAGCAGGGACUACAAAAGAUUAACAUUUCAGUCUGCUGAGCCCACCAGUGCGGUCUUGCCUUAUCUCAUAAGCUCUGCCGGAGGAAUGAAUUACCCUAGUUCAUUAAGACUCGUUUUGAAUUGUGGUGAGAGGUCACCACAUAAGUCACCUCCAGUCUAUUUUGCGAAUAAUAUGGAUUAUGAUAAAAGCCGGCUGGGAGGCUGAAGCCCAAGGAUUUUGUUUUCUUUAUUCUUCAAGGUGGGUAGAAUACAGGGUGGGGAAACCCUGAUCUGGACAUUUCCUAACACUGCAUAGUAGACUAUAGAAAAGUCCUUUUUUUGUUCUUUUUUUUUUUUUUUUUAACCCGUGAAUAGGUGACCUCUUGAUCUCUCUGACCCCUUUAUUUUUGCCAUGAAAGAACCAAAACUAGCUGUGCCCAUACAAAAUCUUCUUUCGCUUCAGUUUUCUCAUGAUUAAAUUCCCUGCUGUGUUUUUGUUUAAGUGCUCUGAUGAUGCCCUUUGGAAUCGGGCAGAUGUUUGACUCUUUGAAACUGCAUUUUUUUUAAUUUAGCAGUGGUCUACAGUUGAGUCGUGUUCAUCCACAUCAGGAAUGAAUGAGAAAUGUUUCUGUAGUACCAUUCAUAUCUCACCACCCAAAAGUACUUUGCAAGUGAUACACUGGGAUACAGUAAUUGGUAAUUUGCAUCAAAUUACUCUGAUGUGCAGAAUGCUGUACAUAAUAAAACAAAGGCUAUCUCUGUGUCGGGUGGAUUACUGAGAGCACGCUAAUUACAGCUGUAGACUGCUUCAAACGUAACCUUGUCAAACUUAGGUAACGGAGAGUAAAGUUGAAGUCAGAUGGCUUAUGAUCUAUUUUAAUAACAUACAUAAAAAUUAAUGGAAGCCUAUCAUUGAGGAAAAUAAAUGGAAAUAAUGUUGAAGAAAGCGGAUGUGCUUCAAAUAUUAUGAGUUAGUUUCUUACAUGUAUAAUCCUACUGGCAGCGUGGGAGCUGUGAUAAUUCAUUGCUGUUGAAAUCACGGUCUUUAGGAGAGGAAGGGUGAACUGGGAUAGCGUUUAGAUUUGGUGCUGGAAACAUAUCUUUAUAAGAAAUUAGCUCAAUCCAGAUUCUUUUUCAUACAGACCAUUGGUUAGGCCUCUGAAGACCAUGUUUAUUAAAGAUGAGCAUUCAUAUAUCAUCAGUAUCUAACUGAGAUCAAGGCAUCAUUUUGCUACUUACUAUAAAAUAUAGUGAAUUUUGCCCCAGAGAAAAGAUAAGCUUGAGAUUUUCCAGAAGCCAGUUAUAUAUUGGAUGGGCUAAGAGAUUUUGUUCUCAAGUUUUGCAAUGCCAUGCACAAGAUUUGCUUUGGGGGUGGGGGGGAAAAAGAAAGACUCACUAGAUCUAAGGAAAAAUUCCCACAUUUCUCAUAGAAACAAACAAAGCCCUAUGGCAGCCAUUUAUGGCUGUUUUGUUUUGUUUUUCAAAGGUGUUCUGCAUUACACUGCAGAACCACAUGUCCCCGUUCAGCCCUUGGCUGGGGAUCCAGGGCUGUGUACCCCUCUACCCUGUCACUCUCCUAUUUGAGCAAUCCAAGUCCAUAUAACUUUAGUUAAUGGCCAUUACUCAGUGUAUUUCCAAUUCCAUGCAAACACAAGCCAAAUAAACAGGAAAGAAGCAACAUAUGAACUAUUAAAUAGACAUUUACUGGCAACCAAACUUGCACUGAAGACCACCCCUGUUGGGAAGGGCCUGUUUAAUUACCCACUUGAAAAUGGGUCUAAGGUUUCCAGAACAAUUUUUCUGACCUUUACUUGGAAAACAACUUUCACCAAAGGACUGAUCUUGUUAUAAUCCUUCAGGAGAAUGCUUAGGAUAGGUUUCAAAAUGUAAAUAUAGUCCAAAUGUUCUGACCAAGACAAAGGAGAUUUUGUAUUAAAAAACUGUCAGGCUUUAGCCUUGGAACAACUCGCACUCAGUCUUCCCAUGGGAAUUUCUUACUGGUGAUAUUGAAUAUAUGCAACAUUAAGCAUUAGGAGUGUUCGUAUCUCAGUGGACAAGGUAAAAGCAGCUCCCAUUCAUGUUAGACCCAGGGAGUAAUGUCAGUGAGAUGUGGUUGUAGAUGAGAUGAACAGCUCUGUAAACUUCUUCCUUCACACAGUGUGUAAGAAGGAUCACUGUUCUUUCCCAGCCUUGGCUUACAGAGAGGUGGAUGUGAGAGCUGUGGGGAGGACAAGGAGAAGGAAAGAGACAGACAUUUAAAAUGUCUCAUCUUUAUCCCGAGGAUGGCUGCACUGAAGUACAUUAUUGCCUAGCAGAGAAUUAUCAUUUUUGUGAGAUCUUAAAAACCAACAGCUGUGAAAUUGACUUCUAACCGAUUUUAAUUGAGAUGGUCCAAAACUUAAAAUAUCAGAAAUAAAAAGUCUGGGUUCUUAUUCCACCAGCUGAUGUGUGAACUUCUUUAUAGCAUUUCCUGUGUAUCUGUUUCUGCCAGACAUGCUGAAGAUAUGCGGUCCAUUACAAAAUAUUGCUUAGAGCAUCCUCAGACUGUUCUGAAAUUCAGAAGUAUUCUGACCCCAUUAUAUUAGCAUUACAUCAAGAUACCUUUUUUUCUUCUCAUCUGAAUUGUAUGUUGUUUAUUAUUAUCUGAUAUUUGGAAGUGUCAUAUCCCAAAAAGGGGUUAUUACCUGGCCACUUAAACAUUUUAAAAAUGGUCACCCUACACGCAUAGUUUACACUAUUUUUUCUCCCUCACUUCCUGGAUAUUCAACCUACAAAUGAAAUCAGGCCUUCAAUUAUAUUCUACCUUACCCCAGAGUACUCAACCUUAUCAUAUCUAUUCUUCACAAAACAAGAGACAAAUACCUGGGAAUUGGCCUGCAAGGCAGCUGGUUUGGAACACUUAAGAUUAAGAUGGAAAUUUCUGCUCUACAGACAGGCUUUCUUAGACUACAUCAUCUAACAGCUUUUAUGGGUCACCACUGUCAAAGGCACCCAGCACAGUCAAUUCCACCUGAAAAUAAUUGGUCAUUGUACAAUGAGCAUCUCUUCAUCUAUUUCCAACAACAUCCAUUCUCUGGUCUAAACGGAAGUAUAAGUCCAGGUCCCGGUUUUGCAGUCACUUUACAGAAUUGCAUCAAGAGAUGGUGACAACACCAGAGUCCACUUGGAAGCAACGGACUGGAGUAAAAGUAAUCAGAAUGGUACAAAGAGUUUUUUAGCUUUUCAGACAUGAUUUUCUGAAGAUCUUGCAGAAACAUAUGAAUAUUCCUAUGAAGGAAUAGUGGUAGAGAGCACACCUGCCAUUUUAAGCCAUACAAUACAAUACAGCUGCAGAAUUUGCAUCUGAAUCUCAUAAGAUCCUGUUAAACAGCAGUUCUAUUUUUUUAUUUUUUUAUAGAGUCCCAUAACUGUAUUUAUACAUGAUGAGAGAUAUUCACAUUGAGCAAAAGUUUGGCUUAGCCAUCACUGGGUCAGAAUUAGCUUGUAAUAUGAUUUAGUAAACCAACAUGAAUCGGGCUGUUUAUUUUCUGAAUUUUUUUCUCACUGAGCAGCAAAACAGCUUUAUCUGUUUUUGAAUCUCGAUAUUAGGUAUUAUGAAUUAGGUGAUAAAGUAUUGCAUUCAGAACACCUGUUUAAUCAGAGCCAACAGCUGAGCUGGCUGUCAAGUGUGAUUUCAAAUUAACUUUGAAAAAGUUGUUCAAAUAGAGGUUUUUGGCAAGUAAAACUUAACUGUUCCAAAUACAUAUAUAAAAACUAUCUCAUUUCCCAAAAGACAACUCUUGUCUUGUUAGGAAAAAAAAGAGAUUCUACAAACAACAUCAGUGAUCAUGAACUAUGACAGGUCAUGAUAGCUUUGUAGAGCCUUGGUGAUGACUGCUGGACAUACUAGGCGUUGCUGGAUCCAUAACAGCAGAUGAGAACUCAGCAGAACUACCUGCCAUUAAUUGUUCAUCGAGCUUGCGAUAUCACUGCUCUCAGCUGUGGCUAAAGGUAGAUGCUCUCGUUCAGACAAUUUAUGACUGCUUGUACUUUCUGUGUAGGUUUUCAUUUGUCUUAGAAAGUGCUGAGGUGAGAAGAACUGUACUUAUUUCAAUUUGGUGAGCUUACUGUGUACCUCUUCCAUACUCAUAGUUGUAUAGUCCCCUUCCAAGCAACAGGAAUUGCUAGGUCAGGCUCAAUCCAUCUUGUUUCACAUUCUCGGACAUGGUUUAGUGAUAACUAUUGGUAAUAGGUGGACAAUUGGACUGGAUGAUCUUGUAGGUCUUUUUCAAACUUGGUGAUUCUGUAAUUCUAUGAUUCAGUGGUUUGGGGAUCUGCAUUAUUCCUAAAUAUUUCUUUGGAAAUUUUAACUCUUUUAAUGUGGAUGAUUAUAAAGCAGACACAGCAGGAAUUAUUUCCAAACCUGAUGCUGUUAGGGAAUGGAUUACUUUUUCUUUUGGUGAUAAGACUUUGAAAUAAGUACUGUUAUUGCUUUUAUUUUAAUCCUGUAAAAUUUGAGAGAAGAUACUUAGCAUAGUUGUUAUACUCUUAGCACAGUUGUUAAGAUAUUUCUAUGGUAUUUAUCUAAUGGAAGCAUGAAAUAAGAACAAUAAAAGCACACUAUUAAGUUCCACAAGUUAAUUACACAAUAUGUUUACUAUUGUUUCCUCUUCAGAUGCAGUUUUGAAAGCCAAGUUUUCCUAAAACUGUAAGGUUCUUUUUCUUUCCAGUCUUUUUUAUCAGCAGGGAAAAAAAAAAAAAAAAAGAAAUCACUAUCUCAGAAACACACAGAGUUGAUAGAGCAGAAAGACACCUGGAUUACUUCAUUUGGGAGUUAAAUUGAACUAAAAUUUGGAUGGCACUCUCCAUGGAGCUGUAGGCUUCAUGCAAUCAUUUAGGUUUGUCAUUGAUUUCAGAUUGGGUUGGCCAUUGUAUCUACCAAAAAAGCUCCCACAGGGGUCCAGAUGGCCACCACCACUCUCUGUGAGACACUUUCUGUUUUGGUUUCAUAACCAGAACAAAUGACGAGAGCAUAAUAGAACACAGACGGCAAUUCAGAAAUUAUGAGCAGUCUAUUAAUCAUUAGGGGCUAAUAUCAGAAAAUAAAGAGUGUAUGUAACAUUACUCCCAAUUUAAUUGAAACCUCUAUGUAAAAAGGACAGUUAAUAAGAAAUGAACAAUUUUUUGUUUCUGGAGAGGCAAAAUGACAGAACCUCAGGGUAUAUAAAGGAUUGGGUUUGACUCUCCUGUGACAGAUGGAAAAUUACUUGGCCAUACAGAUGUGGUGCAGUAUCUUAUACUGUAUGAUGUUAUCCUACAAAAGAGGUCUGAUUUCGCUCAGUUGUGCUCUUUUGUCCUUCCAACAGACACUGAUGUCAGUGGAAAAUCAACAAGGUUGUUAAGGCUAUUGGAACUGAUGCUGAGAGGAAAGUUGGGUUUUGCAAGUUGAAUGCUGGAGCUAACAAUGUCAUUGCUAUUGUUUCACUCCUCACAAGGUUUAAUGGGCUCUAUCUCAUUUCUAAAGCAGUGUAUUUCACCUUCUUUAUGAAACUGGGAAGAAAUAAGACAUAAACAAUGUUGAGCUGGGGAAGAUUUUUUUCUUCCCCUCGUGAUUUGAAUGCAGGUUUGGAUGCAGGAGAUCCUGAGAUAUUAUCUCUCCCAGUUAUUAUAUUUAUCCCAAGUCUAUGUAAUGGGGGAUACUCAUAGAAUCUCCUUCUACCAAAACAAGGUGGAGUGGGUGUUCAUUAUUUCAGUUUGAUAGCUGCAAACAGUUUGGAAAACCUCAUGAUUUUAAAUGUCAAUCUGAUUAUCAGUUCUGGCCCAAGUUAGUCUUUUAUCUUUGAUAAAAAUACUGCCUUUGUUUCCAUGAAAUCAGCGACAAAAUGCAUUAUCUUGGGCAUUUUACAAAAAUAAACAAUUUCACUGAGCAUAUUGUUUCCUUGCUCACACUUUUCUCAAGGAUAGCAAUAAGCUUUUAUAAAAGGCUAAAGACAAUUUCCAUUCAUUUCCUACUGGUGUGCUGUUCUAGAGGAGGUCAUGCAGUCUGUUUGGACAUCACAUGCACCCACUUGAGAUUCUUCUGAGUCAAGGUGAGGAAAGAUGAAAAGCUGUGAGUGCAUGUUAUUUUGAAUAAUGUUUGCUUGGCAGCAGUUGUUGGUUUUUGUUCUUUAUGAAGAGGUUUCAUUGGGAAAAAAAAUGGCAACAAAAUAAAACAGUCCUUAACAUAAAUUAAGAAGAGUUUAGAUUGUUGUAAGGUGGGCUUUUUUGAUUGUGUUAUAUGUUUCCUACAAGUUUUGGAGAGGUACUUACAUUUCAGUAUUCUACUUUCAAUUACGCUGGCCUUGGUUUACUAUCUCAGAUCCAUGUAUUUCUAAGUAUGCAUGGGAGGAAUUUCAUUAAAGCGUGAAAAGC